rnacentral:rRNA from 1 species
UGGGGAAUAUUGCACAAUGGGCGCAAGCCUGAUGCAGCCAUGCCGCGUGUGUGAAGAAGGCCUUCGGGUUGUAAAGCACUUUCAGCGGGGAGGAAGGCGGUGAGGCUAAUAACCUCAUCGAUUGACGUUACCCGCAGAAGAAGCACCGGCUAACUCCGUGCCAGCAGCCGCGGUAAUACGGAGGGUGCAAGCGUUAAUCGGAAUUACUGGGCGUAAAGCGCACGCAGGCGGUCUGUCAAGUCGGAUGUGAAAUCCCCGGGCUCAACCUGGGAACUGCCUUCGAAACUGGCAGGCUAGAGUCUUGUAGAGGGGGGUAGAGUUCCAGGUGUAGAGGUGAAAUGCGUAGAGAUCUGGAGGAAUACCGGUGGCGAAGGCGGCCCACUGGACAAAGACUGACGCUCAGGUGCGAAAGCGUGGGGAGCAAACAGG